rnacentral:rRNA from 1 species
AGAGUUUGACCUUGGCUCAGAUUGAACGCUGGCGGCAUGCUUUACACAUGCAAGUCGGACGGCAGCACAGAGAAGCUUGCUUCUUGGGUGGCGAGUGGCGAACGGGUGAGUAAUAUAUCGGAACGUACCGAGUAAUGGGGGAUAACUAAUCGAAAGAUUAGCUAAUACCGCAUAUUCUCUGAGGAGGAAAGCAGGGGACCUUCGGGCCUUGCGUUAUUCGAGCGGCCGAUAUCUGAUUAGCUAGUUGGUGGGGUAAAGGCCUACCAAGGCGACGAUCAGUAGCGGGUCUGAGAGGAUGAUCCGCCACACUGGGACUGAGACACGGCCCAGACUCCUACGGGAGGCAGCAGUGGGGAAUUUUGGACAAUGGGCGCAAGCCUGAUCCAGCCAUGCCGCGUGUCUGAAGAAGGCCUUCGGGUUGUAAAGGACUUUUGUCAGGGAAGAAAAGGCUGUUGCUAAUAUCGACAGCUGAUGACGGUACCUGAAGAAUAAGCACCGGCUAACUACGUGCCAGCAGCCGCGGUAAUACGUAGGGUGCGAGCGUUAAUCGGAAUUACUGGGCGUAAAGCGAGCGCAGACGGUUACUUAAGCAGGAUGUGAAAUCCCCGGGCUCAACCUGGGAACUGCGUUCUGAACUGGGUGACUAGAGUGUGUCAGAGGGAGGUAGAAUUCCACGUGUAGCAGUGAAAUGCGUAGAGAUGUGGAGGAAUACCGAUGGCGAAGGCAGCCUCCUGGGAUAACACUGACGUUCAUGCUCGAAAGCGUGGGUAGCAAACAGGAUUAGAUACCCUGGUAGUCCACGCCCUAAAC